rnacentral:rRNA from 1 species
GAGUGGCGAACGGGUGAGUAACACGUGGGCAAUCUGCCCGUAUGUCGUGGAUAACGGUUGGAAACGACAGCUAAUACAGGAUGAGCAUCCCGAAGGCAUCUUUGGGAUGUAAAAGGGGCCAAGGCCCCGCAUACGGAUGAGCCUGCGGUGCAUUAGCUAGUUGGUGAGGUAACGGCCCACCAAGGCGAUGAUGCAUAGCCGACCUGAGAGGGUGACCGGCCACAUUGGGACUGAGACACGGCCCAAACUCC